AUUUUCAUAAACUUACGUGGAGUCCUACCUAGGCUAAGAGCCUUUGGAUAUUAGCCUAGGUGUUCAAGUCCGACACCCACGCUCAAUUUUGAACAAAAUUAUACUUCGACGAUUUCUUUAAAAAUAUAUAUUUCUUGCAUGUAAAUGACACCUUUUUAUUGUGGAAAUCUAGAUUUAAGCAAUUUUUGUCAAAAAUGAUUUAUAAUCAUAAGGCACUAUUAGAACUCGUAGGUAAACCGCGAUUGAGCGGAUUCUUAAUACCCGGGUGCCUAACACCUUCCCCGGAGGAUCACCAAAACCCUUACCCAGACUUUAGUAGAUUAGGUUUCUUUUAGGAUAGUCGUAAAAAUAACUAUUUUAAAUGAACCCAUUUCAAACUGGUUUUCCUAAUUUCCUAAAAAUUAGGUGGCGGCUCUAAAAUAUAUCCUUUAGAGCAUCAUUAAGUAGGUGGCGGGCUUUUCAGACUUUUCCGGUAUGAUUCACAACCGUACUUUCCCGGGAAACCUCCCUCCUUUUAUGAGAUAUGUGCGAGCCGGUUAAACUUAGAAUUCCCAACGCCCGCUACAUCACGAAGGAAAGAACCCACAAUCAUCUACAUUUUCUAUAGAUUUGCUUCAAUAAGGUAAGCUUCUCAUCUCAUCUCUUGUCUAGAACGGAAUUUGAAGGAUAUCUAUCAUGAUUACCACUAACAGAGCAUUAUUAUGGGUUUAAAUUUGGUUGAAAAUUUGAGAAAGAUUCCGAUUGGGUUUCUCAUGGAGUUUUUGUGGGAUUUUCUAGAAUUUCGGGUGUUGUUGCUUGAAAUCAUGAUCCAUUGAGUCUAAUAAUCAUGCAUGCCUGAAUGAUUGAAGAUUUAGAAGUCUAGAAUUAGAAUUUCAUAACAAAAAAUCAUGGGAAAAUCAGUAACCCCGACUGUUUUCUGGGUUUUUGAGAAUUGUGAUAAACUCUGCACCUGCAAGAAAUAUCACGCAGGUGCGGUAGAUGCUGAGAAGUUCAAUUCUGCAGAUGCAAUUUUUUUUUUGCAAAAGCGACCUAGUAUCUGCGGUGCUACUUCUACAGGCGUGAUGCUUGGACUAUUUUUGCAAACCAGUAGCUUUGCAGCUGUGUAUGCUGGGCCUAUUUUGCUAGUGCUAAAGUGGUGAUAAUGGACCCAAACAUGAAUGAAAAUGUGGCACCAAAUCAGGAAAUUGCAGAAGAGGCUGCGGAGGAGCAAUAUGACGCUUUUAGGUUCAUGUCCUGUGAUUUUCAUCGCCGAUACACUACAAGAAAGUAUAGAAAUAACAACAAAAAAUUUAAUACUUGGCAACAACUUAGUUUUAUUGUUGCCAAAUGAACUUUUUUGUUGCCA